CAGUGGCUGCCAAGGUGAGGUCGGAAAAGCACAACAAUCAAGUGUCAGGGUGCAAGAAUUGGUAGUUGUCCCAUUACAUCUCCGAUAUUAUCGACUUCUUCAAUAUUUCCAGGUAAUAAUUCUCACUGAACCGCGAUGUGGCAAACUCGUCUAGCCACGGCAUCACUGCUUCUGGUCGUUGCGCACGCACUGAAUUGCCCUGAGAAUUACGAUGACAUCGGAAGCGGCUGCGUGCUCGCCCCGCUGGAGUUUUUGCCCGCGCUCGAGGCCCAGAGCCUCUGUCA